UACGGAGGGUGCAAGCGUUAUCCGGAUUCACUGGGUUUAAAGGGUGCGUAGGUGGAGUGGUAAGUCAGUGGUGAAAUCUCCAAGCUUAACUUGGAAACUGCCGUUGAUACUAUCAUUCUUGAAUAUCGUGGAGGUAAGCGGAAUAUGUCAUGUAGCGGUGAAAUGCUUAGAUAUGACAUAGAACACCGAUUGCGAAGGCAGCUUGUUACACGAUCAUUGACACUGAGGCACGAAAGCGUGGGGAUCAAACAGG
rnacentral:rRNA from 1 species